GAACGCAUGGCGCAGCGGAUAGCGCAGUUGUAUUUGAAAUUGAGGUUCCGGGUUCGAACCUCGUCGGGGUCA